AGUGAACGCUAGCGGUAGGCCUAACACAUGCAAGUCGAACGGCAGCACAGUAAGAGCUUGCUCUUACGGGUGGCGAGUGGCGGACGGGUGAGGAAUACAUCGGAAUCUACUUUUUCGUGGGGGAUAACGUAGGGAAACUUACGCUAAUACCGCAUACGACCUACGGGUGAAAGCAGGGGAUCUUCGGACCUUGCGCGAUUGAAUGAGCCGAUGUCGGAUUAGCUAGUUGGCGGGGUAAAGGCCCACCAAGGCGACGAUCCGUAGCUGGUCUGAGAGGAUGAUCAGCCACACUGGAACUGAGACACGGUCCAGACUCCUACGGGAGGCAGCAGUGGGGAAUAUUGGACAAUGGGCGAAAGCCUGAUCCAGCCAUGCCGCGUGUGUGAAGAAGGCCUUCGGGUUGUAAAGCCCUUUUGUUGGGAAAGAAAAGCAGCAGGUUAAUACCACGCUGUGCUGACGGUACCCAAAGAAUAAGCACCGGCUAACUUCGUG
rnacentral:rRNA from 1 species